GAACAAGAGACCUAGGUCAAUGACUCAGGCUCCUCCUCAGAUUCCAACAACAGGACGCGGUAGGACUUGCCAACACUGUGGUAAGGAUCAUGGGUACUGACCCUACUAUUGCCUCAACAAUACUUGUCGUAUAUGUGGGAGUGUCCAGCAUUACACAAGAGAGUGCCUGAAAAAUCAGAACUAGGCCAGACCUUCUAUCU
rnacentral:lncRNA from 1 species